rnacentral:lncRNA from 1 species
UUUCUAAUAAAAUUGAAAUAUAGGUUAUAUAUCCAUACCACAUAUGGGGUGAUACAUUAAAAAUAUAGGUUUUAUUAUUUAAAAAUAACAUUUACAAUUAUUUUUAAAAUUAUAAAAUUUAUUUCUAAUAAAAUUGAAAUAUAGGUUAUACAUCCAUACCAUAUAUGGGGUGAUAUAUUAGAAAUAUAAGUUUUAAUAUUUAAAAAUAACAUUUACAAUAUCUAGAAUAGUAGCAAAAUUAAUAAUAAAACAAGAGAAAAAAAAAUCAACCCUGUGUGUAGUCUGCUACCCUAGCACGUUUCUGUCUGCCGCCUUUGGCAUGAUAUCUUUAGGUUUUUCGUAGAUUGCUUUUGUUCUUUUUUCUUGAAAUCGGCUUGAACACAAUUUUGCUCAGACGAUAGGGAGGACGGUAGAGUUUUUCUGAACAUCAAUU